CAGUAGCCACGGGAAUGCGAAGGGGGCUAGCGUUGCUUGGAAUCACUGGGCGUAAAGGGUGCGUAGGCGGGUCUUUAAGUCAGGGGUGAAAUCCUGGAGCUCAACUCCAGAACUGCCUUUGAUACUGAAGAUCUUGAGCUCGGGAGAGGUGAGUGGAACUGCGAGUGUAGAGGUGAAAUUCGUAGAUAUUCGCAAGAACACCAGUGGCGAAGGCGGCUCACUGGCCCGAUACUGACGCUGAGGCACGAAAGCGUGGGGAGCAAACAGGAUUAGAUACCCGCGUAGUCCUGUCUCUUAUACA
rnacentral:rRNA from 1 species